GCGUUAAGUUGCAGGGUAUAGACCCGAAACCCGGUGAUCUAGCCAUGGGCAGGUUGAAGGUUGGGUAACACUAACUGGAGGACCGAACCGACUAAUGUUGAAAAAUUAGCGGAUGACUUGUGGCUGGGGGUGAAAGGCCAAUCAAACCGGGAGAUAGCUGGUUCUCCCCGAAAGCUAUUUAGGUAGCGCCUCGUGAAUUCAUCUCCGGGGGUAGAGCACUGUUUCGGCAAGGGGGUCAUCCCGACUUACCAACCCGAUGCAAACUGCGAAUACCGGAGAAUGUUAUCACGGGAGACACACGGCGGGUGCUAACGUCCGUCGUGAAGAGGGAAACAACCCAGACCGCCAGCUAAGGUCCCAAAGUCAUGGUUAAGUGGGAAACGAUGUGGGAAGGCCCAGACAGCCAGGAUGUUGGCUUAGAAGCAGCCAUCAUUUAAAGAAAGCGUAAUAGCUCACUGGUCGAGUCGGCCUGCGCGGAAGAUGUAACGGGGCUAAACCAUGCACCGAAGCUGCGGCAGCGACACUGUGUGUUGUUGGGUAGGGGAGCGUUCUGUAAGCCUGUGAAGGUGUGCUGUGAGGCAUGCUGGAGGUAUCAGAAGUGCGAAUGCUGACAUAAGUAACGAUAAAGCGGGUGAAAAGCCCGCUCGCCGGAAGACCAAGGGUUCCUGUCCAACGUUAAUCGGGGCAGGGUGAGUCGACCCCUAAGGCGAGGCCGAAAGGCGUAGUCGAUGGGAAACAGGUUAAUAUUCCUGUACUUGGUGUUACUGCGAAGGGGGGACGGAGAAGGCUAUGUUGGCCGGGCGACGGUUGUCCCGGUUUAAGCGUGUAGGCUGGUUUUCCAGGCAAAUCCGGAAAAUCAAGGCUGAGGCGUGAUGACGAGGCACUACGGUGCUGAAGCAACAAAUGCCCUGCUUCCAGGAAAAGCCUCUAAGCAUCAGGUAACAUCAAAUCGUACCCCAAACCGACACAGGUGGUCAGGUAGAGAAUACCAAGGCGCUUGAGAGAACUCGGGUGAAGGAACUAGGCAAAAUGGUGCCGUAACUUCGGGAGAAGGCACGCUGAUAUGUAGGUGAAGUCCCUCGCGGAUGGAGCUGAAAUCAGUCGAAGAUACCAGCUGGCUGCAACUGUUUAUUAAAAACACAGCACUGUGCAAACACGAAAGUGGACGUAUACGGUGUGACGCCUGCCCGGUGCCGGAAGGUUAAUUGAUGGGGUCAGCGCAAGCGAAGCUCUUGAUCGAAGCCCCGGUAAACGGCGGCCGUAACUAUAACGGUCCUAAGGUAGCGAAAUUCCUUGUCGGGUAAGUUCCGACCUGCACGAAUGGCGUAAUGAUGGCCAGGCUGUCUCCACCCGAGACUCAGUGAAAUUGAACUCGCUGUGAAGAUGCAGUGUACCCGCGGCAAGACGGAAAGACCCCGUGAACCUUUACUAUAGCUUGACACUGAACAUUGAGCCUUGAUGUGUAGGAUAGGUGGGAGGCUUUGAAGUGUGGACGCCAGUCUGCAUGGAGCCGACCUUGAAAUACCACCCUUUAAUGUUUGAUGUUCUAACGUGGACCCGUGAUCCGGGUUGCGGACAGUGUCUGGUGGGUAGUUUGACUGGGGCGGUCUCCUCCUAAAGAGUAACGGAGGAGCACGAAGGUUGGCUAAUCCUGGUCGGACAUCAGGAGGUUAGUGCAAUGGCAUAAGCCAGCUUGACUGCGAGCGUGACGGCGCGAGCAGGUGCGAAAGCAGGUCAUAGUGAUCCGGUGGUUCUGAAUGGAAGGGCCAUCGCUCAACGGAUAAAAGGUACUCCGGGGAUAACAGGCUGAUACCGCCCAAGAGUUCAUAUCGACGGCGGUGUUUGGCACCUCGAUGUCGGCUCAUCACAUCCUGGGGCUGAAGUAGGUCCCAAGGGUAUGGCUGUUCGCCAUUUAAAGUGGUACGCGAGCUGGGUUUAGAACGUCGUGAGACAGUUCGGUCCCUAUCUGCCGUGGGCGCUGGAGAACUGAGGGGGGCUGCUCCUAGUACGAGAGGACCGGAGUGGACGCAUCACUGGUGUUCGGGUUGUCAUGCCAAUGGCACUGCCCGGUAGCUAAAUGCGGAAGAGAUAAGUGCUGAAAGCAUCUAAGCACGAAACUUGCCCCGAGAUGAGUUCU
rnacentral:rRNA from 1 species